rnacentral:rRNA from 1 species
GAGCGAACAGGAUUAGAUACCCUGGUAGUNCACGCCGUAAACGAUGAGUGCUAGGUGUUGGAUCCUUUCCGGGAUUCAGUGCCGCAGCUAACGCAUUAAGCACUCCGCCUGGGGAGUACGACCGCAAGGUUGAAACUCAAAGGAAUUGACGGGGGCCCGCACAAGCGGUGGAGCAUGUGGUUUAAUUCGAAGCAACGCGAAGAACCUUACCAGGUCUUGACAUCCCGAUGCUAUUUCUAGAGAUAGGAAGUUACUUCGGUACAUCGGUGACAGGUGGUGCAUGGUUGUCGUCAGCUCGUGUCGUGAGGUGUUNNNNNNNNNNNCGCAACGAGCGCAACCCCUAUUGUUAGUUGCCAUCAUUCAGUUGGGCACUCUAGCGAGACUGCCGGUAAUAAACCGGAGGAAGGUGGGGAUGACGUCAGAUCAUCAUGCCCCUUAUGACCUGGGCUACACACGUGCUACAAUGGUUGGUACAACGAGUUGCGAGUCGGUGGCGGCGAGCUAAUCUCUUAAAGCCAAUCUCAGUUCGGAUUGUAGGCUGCAACUCGCCUACAUGAAGUCGGAAUCGCUAGUAAUCGCGGAUCAGCACGCCGCGGUGAAUACGUUCCCGGGCCU